rnacentral:misc_RNA from 1 species
UUGCAUCCUACAAUUAACCAAUUUGAUCCAGAGCCUUCAGUUGAAUUUAACACUGUUGCCAAUAAGAAGCAGCAGCACGAAGUGAAUGUUGCCAUUUCAAAUUCCUUCGGAUUUGGUGGACACAACUCGGUUGUGGCCUUUUCUGCAUUUAAGCCCUGACCAUCUGAAUUGUCUGCGAAUCAUUUUCUGCAAUUCAAGGCUGGCUAUUUUCCUUUUCUGCAUUUAUCGCAGGAACUAGUCUUUGCUUAAUUGUGAGUUG